UGUUAUUAAUUUCGCCGCCUCUUCCUCGCUCUCCACCACCCACACGGCCACACACAAUUCACAAACCGUGCGCGCGCGCGGCGAGCAUGGAGUGCGGAGCGGCGGCGUGGGCGCUCCUCGAGCGCGUGCGGCGCAGCGCCCCGCUCGUGCACUGCAUCACCAACCUCGUCUCCAUGGACCUCGUCGCCAACGCGCUCCUCGCCGCGGGGGCCUCCCCCGCCAUGGUCCACUCCCUCCGCGAGGUCCCCGAGUUCGCCCCCCGCGCCGCCGCCCUCGUCGUCAACGUCGGCACCCUCUCCGAGCCCUGGCUCCCUGCCAUGCGCGCCGCCGCCGCCGCCGCCGCCGACGCCGGCCGCCCCUGGGUCCUCGACCCCGUCGCCGCCUCCGCCUCCGAGUUCCGCAUGGACGCGUGCCUCGGCCUCCUCGCCCUCCGCCCCACAGUCGUGAGGGGGAACCCCUCCGAGAUCAUCGCCCUCGCGUCCGCGUCCCGGAUCCGCGACGCAAAGGGAGUCGACAGCUCCCAUGAGUCAAUUGAUGCCGUGGAAGCUGCCAAGUCAUUGGCACUUUCCAGUGGUGCGGUUGUCGCAGUAUCAGGAGCUGUCGAUUUUAUCACCGAUGGACAGAACGUGAUCGGUGCGCACAAUGGGGUGCCCAUGAUGCGGAAGAUCACUGCAACAGGAUGCGCGGUCACAGCCCUCAUCGCGGCCUUUGUUGCUGUAGAUCCAACAAACACUUUGGAAGCAACUGCUUGUGCUCUCUCCAUCUUUGGCCUGGCUGGAGAGCUAGGGAUGGAAAUGGCGAAAGGACCGGCCUCGCUUAGAAUGCACCUGAUCGAUUCACUUUAUGGACUCGAUGAAAAAACCGUAGCUUCGCGGGUUAAAAUUUUGCGGCACUCAUAAUUCACGGUGGCUCUUUUGCGAGAUGGGCUUGAUGAGGUUUGAAUUCAGGAUUGUACUCUGCCACCAUGUGAAACAACCGCUUUCUCCAAAAGCCGAAGGUGGUUUGCUAUUUUAUGCCCAGCACCAAAGAGGACAAACUAACAAGGAGAGCCUUAAAGAGCAACUGAGAGGUUGGAGCAGCUCUUCACUAUCAUAUGUGUGGUUCGCGCUGUGGAUGCGAACGCUGACAACGGUGAAUACACCGUCGACGUCGACGAGCAGCUGCCGACGUCCCACCGGAAGCUGAUCUUGCUCGAGUUCGAGCUCAUAUGGUCAUCAAGUGGGUCCUUAAGUGAUGCUCUGCUUUUGAAGUACAAGAUCUUCAACAAGAAAAGAGAAUGCUAUGUCAAGCUUAGAAAGCUGCUGCUGCCCACUUGAUGAGCUCCUUCAUCCGCGACAGCGCACGCCGCCUCUCCCCACUACGCCCGGCCUCCUUCUCCGACGAACCCUCUCCGCCGCUGUCCGCGCCGUUGGGCCCGGUCGCCGAGACCGCGUCGCAAAUGGGUGCAAAGUACUAUAAAACCAAGCCCUGCUUUUGCUCUCCUCACUCUCCUCCUCCUCAUCAUCAUCAUCAUCCUCCUCUCCGCCGUCCGAUUCGUCGUCUCGAAGGUACUUCACUACUUCAUCUGAUCAUCAUGAAAUAACAACCAACAACAAUAUGUGUCAGCAUGAUAGAUCCAUAUACAUACGCGCAUACAUAUAACCAUGCUCGUAAUAAGUUUAAUGAGUCAUUACCAGUGUUGCAGCUCCUCUCUCCCUUGUUUGUGACUAGAGUGUUCUUUGCCCCAGGAUGAGGUGAUGAUCUAAAUAGCCAUUGCAGAAUCUAGCAAUGAUUAAGCAACGAAAACCCAUCAUUUAUAUCUCGUUAACGUGGUUGCGACCGGUAUUAAUCAUUGUUUUAAGCCACAUGUAACUUUAGUAUAACUGUGCAACCACAAAUAAGACAACUAAACUACCUCUACCUGCAUGUUCUCCACCUGCAAUAUCUGUAAGGUUGGAAUCUUAAGUAGGUGGUCAAAGUAGGAAUAACACUGGUGAUAUAGAUAUAUAUAAUUAAGUACUAGGGUUUGAUUAUUAGGGCAUUAAAAGCCAUAGAAAAAGAGCUUAAAAAUUAAGCUAACACAGAAGAGCAAAGGAUAAGAGUGAGUUGGCUAGGGUUUAUAUAUGCAUGUUGCAUAUGAGGUGGCCAUGUGUGUUUAAGCAUAUGUUAUUACUAAGGGGUUUAAUAAUCUUCUUUUUAAACUUCACAUGGGUGACAAGCCAUCUUACAUCAUUGAAUGUGAUAUUUUAAAAGUGCUUCUUAAAUUGCUUUUUUUUUUUGGCUUUGAUAAUUGAUUGAGAAUGGAUAAAAUUUGCUCAUGUGGGAGAGAGGGAUAUAUUCUUUUCUCUCUCUAGUUUUAGUGCAUGCACCACUUCUUAACUUAAACCCUAUUAUUAUGAAGGUGCAAAAUCAGAAUUUAAUUCAUUAGAUGUGUUAAGUGAUACUCGAAAGACAUUGUUUGAAUUUUUCUUUUCCGUAUUAUUAAUCGAACAACAUAUACUGAUGAUUUUUGGGAC